CAGGAAAGCUGGGGAGGAAUGAUAGCCUAAAAGGGAAGACACCAUUUUAAGUGUCAGCUAUUUCCUGUGAGGCAGGAACGAAGAUUGGGGUUUGGGGUUGUUCCCAGGGUCCCUGUUCCUCAGAAUAAGCCCCAAGCAUAUGCUCCUCUCAAACACCUCUGUCGUCAUUUGGGAUGUUUUUAGACAGGGCUUCACAGAGCCCAGGCAGGCUUCCAACUCAUUAUCCACUCAGAGAGGACCUUGAACUCCUGCUCCUCCUGCUGCUGUGUCCCCAUCACUGGGUUUAUGGGUGUACCCACAUAUCCAUCUUCAAAUGCCUCUGAUAAAUAAAACGAGGAUGUGGGUGGCUUUAUCUCUGUCCUCGAGACUAAAGGGUACAGCAAAAGGCAAGUGACAACCACACCAUGUGAGUCCUUCUGGAGCACAGCGUGGAGUCCUGGGGUGCUCUCUUAGAAGCACAGGCUGAGCUGGGACCAUGAACAGAGGCUCCCCGAGGAGGAUGCGCUCUGGAAAGCCGGCUAGUGCAGAGUUCCUGUUGACUUUGGGCAGUAACACUGAUAUUCCGGCCUCUCGACAGUGUAACUUGAGAAAUGCUGCUGAGCAGGGUGAGGAAGCCCAUGGAGCCUGUCUGGAGUGCCUCCAGUCCCCAUGUUCCCUUGGGCUGCAGCGGAAAUAUUCUAGGCAUGAGGUACCUGUGGACUCGAAUUCCACACUAGUGACAGUGAGCGACACAUAUGGAGCUGGGGGAAGAUAUCUCAGCAAUCAAGCAGUUGACGCCUCUGUAGUUCUCAGGACCUAAGUCCGGUGAACCACAACUCAGUUGUGGGGGAACCCAACUCUUCCUGUAGGCACCUGAACUCACGCCUGUGUGACUGCACACGUGCACAGCACCAAAGAAAAUGUUCCUUCUUCGUGGUCAUGAGACUAAGUAUUUGGAAUCAUAACAUUUAUGAUGUAGCACUGAACCAUGAUUUUGCGACACCUAGAGCAGCCAUGUGGGUCAACCCUCAGCAGACUAUGGCUUGAAGGAGUUGUCAGUCAUAACUGUCUACAGGCAACCAUGCAUGAGGCAUCUCUCUAUCAUGGGACACUGCUGCAUUGAUCUCCCACCAGAAAACUAAGAGAAACCACCAGCGGCUAAUGGCACUCCAGAGAUAGUUUAAGUUGCUUCUGCAAGACAUCUUGUCAUGUGGUGAUCUACUCAUCUAAGAGGAUGAGGAACUUUUGGAGCGCCGUGGUGACCUUGAAGGUGACAAUGACACCAUCCAUUCCUAGAACAUUGUGACAGCUGCCACCUGAACGGGUAAAAGUGGUACAUGGGGAUCUACCCCCCCCAGAUGGCAGGACGCUCACAGAAGGGUCAGAUGGUGCAGGUAAACACUCCCACUCAUGAGUAUUUUUCUAUUAAGGGAGGUUGCUCUAUGCCUAGCUAGGUUUGCCCCAUGUUGCUCUUUGCUUUCUGCUUGGGAGUAGCUUUCCCCUGUGCUUUCCUCUCCUUCGUAGUCACCCUCUUCUGAUAUGCUCAUUAGUAAACCCAGAGCUGCUUUUACUAGUACAGAAUAGCACUAGCCUGCAGCAACACAUCUCAGGGUAGAGAGUUCGGCUCUCUUGUCACAUCUCUGUAUUCAGACUCUUACAGACAUGACCGGCAACAACACCUUGGUAACCUUAUUCACCUGUCCACCUGUUCCGAUUGUAAUCUACCAGAGAGCAGAAGCCUGCAGGGGCCUUUGUCUUGUGUGUUUCUGCGGUCGCAUCCUGCUUCCUUAGGAGAGGAGCGGGGAAGAUACUGUUUCAAUUCAGGAGAACUAAGUGGUAAACUUUUUCUGUCUGUGACGAUACUGUUUCAAUUCAGGAGAGCUAAGUGGUAAAACUUUUUCUGUCUAUUUUUGUUUCAUUUCAAGUUGGGGUUUUCCUCCAAUGCUCUGUCCCUCCUGUCCUGUUUUAGACAAGCUGAUCUCAGAAACUGGGUAAUUGCACACAGUCAGCACAACCCGGCAAAGAUGUAUUGUCCACCAAACCUGCCAGUUGUAAUCAUUAAAAUCACGGCAGACUUCAUAAAAGGCUAUGUAGCUACUCCUGAUGUUGAACCAAUUUCUUUCUCUGUUGCUGUGAUAAUAAAAUACUUCGACAAAAGUGACCUAAGACAGAAAGAGCUUACUUUUGGCUAACAUCAUCCAGGCAAAGAAAUGACAGUAGUGGGAACUGGAGUGCACUGGUCACAUUGCCUCCCCAACCAAGAACAGAGAACAGGGAUGUUACAGGUGUGUGCUUAGCUCACUCCCUAUAAAGUGUGGAUCCUGACACAGUUGUAAUCAGUUUUCCCACACCCAUUGAUGUAACCAACAUUUAUGUAAGCCUACAUUCCAGGUUAGUCUAGAUCUGUCAAAUUGACAGCAUUAUCUAUCACACAUACACCAAAUAAACAUUUGUGGCUUAUGCCCCUUGACCUCAAGCUGGCAGGGUCAGGUGGACUGGACUCAGAAACAUUGAGGAAGGCGAGGAUGGGUUCAGUAGUUGGUGACUGUGCUGCAGUGGGGUAUCCUGGAUGCUGACUGACUUUGGCAGCUGAGAGAUUUACAGAUGGGAAGGGAGUUUCUUUGGAUAUGUGGGGCCUCUAGUCCUGACUUCAAUGGGAAUGAGAGGACAUGUGUGAACAAGUGCAGAGCAAGGUUGGGUCCCUUCUACCUGUGAUGGAGGGACAGGACACUUUCAAUCUGACUUAGGGCAGGUGGUCAACUGUGGGCAAAUGCUCCAGUCCACGGAGGCUGCAAGCCUAGAGAAUGUUGAAAAGGCCAAUGACACUGCGAUAGAGGCGAAGCUAAAGAAAAUGAUACAUUUGCUAGGCACUUGCUCAGAGUAUAAGAAUACCUUGCAGCCUAACAACUGAAUGAUAGUUCACUUUGGAGGAAAGGCAUGUCGACUUCUCUCCAAGAAGUCAGACACGAAACCAUGGGGGACUCCCUUGUCCCUUGACUGAGGCAGAAGUUUGAAAACAUUCUCUCUGGGUGAGUCGGAGACAGUGGCACUCAGGGGCUUCUGACAAUUUAAACUAAUGUGUUGUCCUUGGAUGUGGGUUUCAGUUUACGAGAGAGAGAGAGAGAGAGAGAGAGAGAGAGAGAGAGAGAGAGAGAGGCUCUUAAGCUCACACUCAUCCAGUGAUCUUGCAGAUAAUCAUAUGUGGGCAUACCAGACUGUAUUUGAGUUAAGGUUCAGAACAGUUGAAGGAUGUGGCUUUCUGAAAGACCAAAGGAAGGCAUGGAGACGAGGGACUGUAAGGCGAGGGGCUCUGAGAGUCAGGACAGGAGUCAGAGAGGCAGCAGGAUGAGAGGUGCAGGAGGAUCCCAGCCAUCCAGUGCUAUCUCAUCAUUUGCUAGGAGCCGUCCACCCAGGGACAGCAGAGAGGCAGAGGGAACAGGUCUAAGAAGAUGACAGGAGAGCAGGGGAGAGUGACAACAGGACAGAGAAGACACAGGCCGAAAACCAGUGGAGAGGAACAGUGGAUAAUGCAGGUGCCCCAAGGCCUGGGGGGCCACAAACUUCCCUUACUCCAAGGGAUGAAACCAGGUAAUCCUUGGACGGUGCAGGAUGGCUGGUGAUGGGUUGCUGGCCUCAGGAGUGCCUCAAGAGGAGGCAUAAUAAGGUUUGGGAUGGAAAACAAAAGUUCCUGGAGAAUUGUUUUGAACCAGUGACCACCUAUGCAGAGCCAGUUACGGGGAACACACAGUAGAUAAGGAAACUGUAACAUAAGAGCUGCAUAGGGCUGAGCCUCCAGCAGAGCCUCCCAGGGGAACAGUGCCCUGCCUAGUGAAGGGAGGUGAUUACCCAUCAGACCUAGUCUUGUCUUUCACCAGAAUUUUAAAGUCACACUAAUCGACUCCUCGGACGUAAUGACCCCUUCCCUCUAGAUAUUUAAAUAUUUAAGCACAUAAGAGAAUAUAUAUAUGUAUAUAUAUAUAUAUAUAUAUAUAUAUAUAUAUGGAUAAAAGGAGAUUCUAAAAACUUCUGAGAUGUGUAAGGUGAAUAAGUGUUCAGAGUGGGACAUUUUGGAAAGUACCAAAAGAUACGCAAAAGACAAGAGGACUUUCCGGAUAACUCAUUGUCACCUCACCUUUGACCGUGGAAAUGUGAGUUAACACAUCCCUGAGACUGCACAGGCCUCCCAGAAGCAUGACAUCCCCUGUGUUGACCUCAGGGUUUAUCAGCACCAGGUCUCAGCCUUUCUUCCUACUAGAAGACUCUUAUCUCAGUGGUCCAGCUGGUCUUGGGGAGAUGUGGUCACUGGGUUUGGGUCUGAGGGAGGGCUGGUCGCUGGUUCUCAAUGUGGUCUGGACUGUCCCUCACGGGGCUUCCCACGCCGGUUCUGUCUGGUGACCAGUGAGGCUGUGGCCCCCCUCAUGCCCUGGCGUCUCACCUGCAGACUUUCCAGGGUCUCCUUAUUGUCCUUUUAUUAAUUUGAUUGUCUGGACCAAUUUCUCUAGCACAUUCUUUGGGGAGAACCUAGUGAGAACAAGGCUCUCUAAGUUUCUGAAUGUAUAAUAGCAUUUCAACCUCAUAUUUAACCACCAUGUGCUGAAAUAAGGAAUAUUUUUGCUGGCUUACUUUUCCCUCUGGUAUUAACAAAUAUCAUUUCACAUUGCCAUUAGAAUUCCCGAAGGCAAUCUGAAUUUCUUUUCUUCAAAAAGAUAAUUUCAUUGCAUACCCAGAGGGCUCCUCCACCUACAGUAGGGUCUUUGGAUUAGAUCCUGGACCUGGUGCUACCACAGACUUGAAGACAAGGUCCUGCUUUAGCUUUUUAUGUUAAAAACACCAAUGGUGUUAAAAUGCUUCCUCUUUGUUUUGCUAUUUGCAUGUUGUGAAAUUCUAUCUAAUCUAUGAAUUAACUUUUUUCUCUUUGCUCAAGAUUAAAUGUCUUUACAAGACAGCAUCCAGCCUCUGGGUGCAGCUGCUAAGACCCUGUUAUGCUGUAGGCAUGGCUGGGGCAGGGCAGGUGGCUCUGGCUUCCCACCCUUCUGUUCUGAGAUGGGGUUGGAUUUCAUCUUUGGGUUCCACAAUGCUCACAUGAUCAGGCAGAGGCUUCUUGGGACCAAUCUUAGCACCUGGGUCCCAGGGUGGCAUGAUCUUUACUUUGAUGUCCAGCACACCCUGUGUGAGAAGCACACUAUGCACAGCAGUGGUCAACACAGUAGUUAACAGGGUCUCUGCUGUGAAUCAUCAGACUGUCCACAUGCUUCAUGGACUUGGCACUCUGUCCUCGGAGUUUCCCAGACACCACAGCCUUGCAGCCCUCGACCCCACUCUCCAUAGGUAACUGAAGCACCCCCAUAGCAGGCCCUUCAAACCGCAAGCCCUCCUAGGAGUGCGUAGCAUAGACUCUGCCUGGGGAUGGCCACCUUCUUCUGCAUAAAGCUCUACACUGCCUUCAGGGAAGCCGAAUUAAUUUUUUGAUGCAAGGGUCGCACGUGCACAUGUGGCUGUAGGUCCACAGCAGGUGUCUUCUGCAGUCACUCCCCGCCUUGAUUUCAUUUUGAGACAGCUUCUCAUUGAACUUUGGUCUCGCAGACAUGGCUAGCCUGUCUGGCCAGGGAGCUUCAGGUCCACAGAGCCGGGAUCACUAGGUUAUGCAUCCCUGCCAUGAUUUUUCAUGUUACUGAUAGAGGUCUGCACUCAGGUCCUCGUGCUUGCUCGGCAAGCAUUUAUGCUGCAGAGCCAUCCGCAGCCUUCUCCCUAAACAUCUGUUCAUUUCUUCCUUCUGUCUCACUGUCUUCCUUCUGGGACGACUCCGCAUCUCUUCUCAUUUCUUGCUCGCCCUUCCCUCCAACCCCUGAAGGCUUUGUCUCUGCUACAACCCUUCCCAGAAGACACUGCCACCUCCGCUGUAAAUUUCCCUAAUCCUUCGAUGUGUUGUUCAUGUCCCUAGAUUUCGUGGAGGUCAUCUGGAGCUCCUGGAGCUUCUUCCUGUCUUGUGUCUGUGGGAGGAAUCUCCUUUCCAACAGGAACUGUUUCUUUUUCUUAGAUUCACUGGGGGCAUUGUGUACCUCUUCCUACUUCUCCUGGGAGAGGGCUCCUAACAUUUGUGGGAGAGACGUGGACUAUGACGCCUUCCAAAGCUCCCCAUGCCGUUACUCCCACAGACCCCUCAAGUGUGUGGCUGUCACCUCCACCCGAGAUUGGGCUUUGCUGCUCAACUGCUCCUCUGUGGGACGCUGUCCUGGAAGGAGCCCUGCUGGUUGGUUAAAGAGUGGACCCUAAUUUCCCCUUAACAAUAAGUUUUGAAAUACAUGUCCUCAGACAUGGUGGUACAUGCUUUUAUUUCCAGCAUGGGCUUGCAGAGGCAGGGAGCUCUCUGUAGUGAGUUCCAGGACAGCCAGAAUUAUUUACAAAACAGAACAAACAAAACAAAACAAACAAACAAGGGGAAGAAAGACACCUUCGGGAUGAAAGGCUAAGAAGCCCAUUCUUGAGGUGACUGGUAGCGGUCAGGAAAUCCAGCUGGCACUGUAAUGCAAGAUACAAUGUAUCUCACUGUUUCAGACUCAAAUCAGAGAAUGGUACAGGGAAUGUUCGUGGUGGAUAUUCGCUACAGUAUCUCGGCAAAUUAUAGAUGAGGCCAAACGCCGAACUAAAUUCAUUCUCUCUCUCUCUCUCUCUCUCUCUCUCUCUCUCUCUCUCUCUCUCUCCCUACCUACCUCUCCUCUCCCCUCAUCCCCCUUUUUUCCUCUCUUCCUCUUUCUUUCCUUGGAAUUAACUGAGCCCCACCCUUAUCUGGUGUUAAGUUUCACUCACAGCAAUGCUGGCUUGGAGCAGAGUGGUUUAAAACACAACACAAGUGGCCUCUGCCACCCCUACUCCCUCGUUUCCUACAGCUUGAUGGCAAAUGUCCUUUGCUAGCACUGUUCCAGAUCACUGGGUUCCUUCCCCUGGUCCCACAACUGCAGGACAGUUAUGUGAGUGUGCCCUGGCCUCCUCCCUCCCAGGAGAGCAGGUCUCACUGCACUUCUUACAUCCCUUCUUACCAUCGCUGAGUUGGAAUGAAAGAGAAGUCCAUAAUAGGGGUUUCGAGAAGGGACACCUUGGCAAAGUGCUCCCUCUUCCUUCCCUACUCUCCAGAGAUGGCUGUGUGGCAUAGCAUAGAAGCCUUGGGAAGCCGUGUUCCCUAGAAAUUCAGAGUGUAGGUCAGCCUCUGUCACUCCCCACCUGUGCAUGCUCAAGCUGGCCCCUCCUUAAGCUCCCCAGAGCUAGCCCAUUGCCGCUUUGGUUUUCCCAUCCGCACAGGUGGCAAGUAUUGAGAGGCACCAAGCUGGGCCACAGACUUAAAAGGUGACCGUAAGUAAAUGGACAGGGGUGGAACCGACCGCAAGAAGCUGGUGGGUGUCUCAGGUGUGCCCUUAGCUUGCAGGUAGUGGGGAAACGUGGUGUCAAUAAGGGACUGUAGUGUAAGGGCAGCCUGUGAUGAUGCUGUAAUUAAGCUACAGCCAAGGUGAAGGACUGGGGCAUCUGCCCCACAGAAGAACCACCCAGGUCAGAGAAGGCCAGGGUGAACAGGGUUUCCUGUCAAGCUGUUUCCAAGGGAGAUUGUUGACUGUGAGGUAGACCCAGGAGAGGGGUGCUCUGGGGCCCAGGAGAUCCAAAAUGAACUGUGUACAACUGGUUCUGUUACUGGAGGGACGGGGUCUGGAACUGGAGCGGGCCUAACUGUCCAGAUGUAAAUUUCUGAGACACAAUACUAGAAAAUUAAAUCAUCAAGGCGUUCAAUAAGCAGAACACAGAACUGCGGUGGAGUUGACACUUAAAAUGCAAAUUCAGCAUUCAAACGGGACAUGGAAUGGGACGCUCAAUGUUAAAAAAUGAGUUCUUGUAGAGCGGAGGCUCACCUGGGACCCAACACUCAGAAGGCUAAGGUAGGGAAAAAGCAACUUGUUCAAUCACUAUAAUCCAUUACACUAAUAAUCAAAUCCUGGUAUGUAUGAAUAAAUUACCUUAUUAAAUCCAAUUAGAGGCAUGAAUCUUUUAAAUCAUUAUUAGCGGUAAGAGGGAGCGCCUAAAAUCUGACGAGGCUACUUCGUUGCAAUAGAAACGACCGUUCCAGCAAGGAGUUCCGGCCACACUCCGUAGCUCAGCCAUGAGCCACUGUCAGCACUUGGGUCAAAUUGUCCCCCUGGUGCUCCUCGCUGACACUUUAAGGCAAGAAAAUGUAUGAAGGUAAAUAAAAAGAGGCAGAUGUGUAUUUAACCAUAGGAAACAUGAUUUUCAAGGACAAGCUCUAAAAGGACAGAGGUUGUUUGCAGAUGAGGACAAAGUCGGCGUGUUAGUGCUGACACACUUCUGUUGUAACCCAGGAUCAAUCUUGUGGGCUCCGAUGUGGUGAUGAUCCCACGGGCUCCUACACUGUGAGCUGCACAAGCUACACCAGCAGUAAAAAAAAAAAAAAAAAAAAUCAAGGGCCCGGCCAGUUGUGGCACACAACAUUAACCCCAGCAGAAGUCAGAGGCAGGUGGAUUUCUGUGAGUUCAAGGCCAGUCUGGUCUACAGUACAAAUCCCAGGACAGUCUGGGUUACACAGAGAAGCUCUGUCUGAAACAACCAAAAAGACGACCAAGGAAGCAAGAGGAGCAGAAGCAUGGGAAUGGGAAAAAGUUAAAGCACAUAUGAAUACCUACUUACACACACAUAUACAUACUUACAUGCACACAAUACAUACCUACAUACAUACAUACACACAUACACACAUAUACAUAUACCUACAUACAUCCGUACAUACACACAUACAUAGAGAGAGUCUUUGUUCGUGUUAGGGGCUGGCUAUUAGCUAUGAUUUCAUCUAUGGAUUCAACUCAUUCUCAGCAAAAUCACCGCCAGGUACUUCAGGAUUAGAGAAAUUGCAAAGACUGUAGAAAAGCUGAGCUGAUCUUCAAUAGGAGCAAAAGCAAAGAGCAUGUGCUCCAACCGAUGGGUGGUGAGUUCUAGUAUUUUACACACCCUUGUGUAAUGUGUUUGCAAGUGUGUUUAUUUCAACCUCGCACCAAACAAAGAGAAGGGCCCAACCAGGCUGAAGCCCUAACUAUGUGUGAAGAAUUUUCAUGAACUCGAGGUGAGUAAAGAUUCCCUAAACAGUUGUGGAAAACGUGGUACGCAGGAGUGGAAGCAGGAAGGUAGACUAUCCCUCGUUAGAGGUAAGAACUUCAUUCAUGAGCGUCAUCAGUAAAGUAAAAGUGCAGUUGGCACACACAUCCCAGCAUUUGGGAGGCAGAGGCUGGUAGAUUCCUGGGUUCGAGGCCAGGCUGGUCUACAGAGUAAGUUCCGGGAGAGCCAAGGCUACAUAGAGAAAACCUGCCUUGAAAAAACAAAAUAAAUAUAAAUUCACUAAUUAAUUAACUAAUUCACUAAUUAAUUAAUAUAAAUAGUUGAAAACACAAUGGGAAAACAGCUGAAUGUGCGCUUUGCAAAAGAAGAAACCCAAAUGGCCCAUAAAUACAUUAAAAGAUGUUUAAUAUCCUUAUAUGUCAAGAGAAUGCAAACCAAAGUGACAGCAUGAUGUCAUGUCAUCCUAGUCAGAAUGGCUACCACAGAGAAAGCAGACAGCAAAUGCUGAUGACAAUGGGGUGGGGAAAGAAGCCUAGGCUCUGCCAGUGGGCUAGACUGGAGGAGCCUCCAUGAAGGCCCUUGAAGAAGCUAAACAUGGAGCCACCAUGGACCCCAUUAUAGUACUUCUGUAAGAGCCAGCACACCACGGAGACAACCACAUGCUCUGCUCUCUCUGCACCAUCUACAGCAGUCUACAUAUGAAACUGGCCCAGGUGCCCAGCUGAUGCACAGAAGCAGAAGUUGUGGUUGGUGCACACAAGGGCCUGUUACUUAGCCAUAAGAAGACCACAGACACGCCAUUUCUGGGAAAGUGGGUAUCGUUUAUUAAGUAAUCAGGUAGCUUCAGAAAGGCAAAGUUUCUAUGCUUUCUGUCAUAGGUGGAAAACAACCCAUGAGGCUUGGAUGGGGACUGGGGGGCCAGUGGUGGAGGGGAGGGACAUGUAAGCGAGGUAGGGAGGAAAUUGGAUCAAAGUACCUUAUUUACAGUAUGGCAAACUGCUCUUCCAGAGGUCCUGAGUUCGAUUUCCCAGCAACCACAUGGUGGCUCACAACCACUUGUAAUGGGAUCCAAUGCCCUCUUCUGGUGUGUCUGAAGAGAGCUCAUAUACAGAUGGAUGGAUGGAUGGAUGGAUGGAUGGAUGGAUGGAUGGAUGGACAGACGGAUGGACAGACAGACAGACAGACAGACAGAUGAUUUUGUAGAAUAAAGUACAUGAAGUGGAUAAGGACUUCGCAAUGCACCUGGGUGCAGCAGACAUCUCCAAUGAGACACCUGUCAGGAUGGGGAACUUCUACCCUUUGCACUCAAAAAAGGUCGGACAAGAAAAGCAACGACUUAAAAGCCAAGGCUGAAAGAACACAUCGCUGAAGGGUCUAUGGAACAGCCAGAAUCACAGGAGAAGGGCAGCCAGGAAGUGGGGUGUGACCUCAGUUGUAAACAACAUGGAGGGAAGAGAAAAAGACUGGCACCAAGGAGGGGAAAGAAGGAGAAAGGAGAAGGGGAGAAAGAAUAUAAAUGGCAGUCUGAAUGCUGGCAGGUCCUAUGAAGCAUCAGCCAACACUCAACUUACAUGCUCUUUAGUUAGACAGUUCCGCCCCUGGCUUCAUGUUCACCCAGACUGCAGAUGGAUGUGCACCAAAACCAGAAUUCAAAGCUCUCCAGCCCCUCUGUCUGUGACAUCCUUUAAUGGUGAAUUAAGGGGACAUGAUUAAUAUAUUCCUGCAACAGACUUCCACCUGUGUGUGGACACCUAAUGCCGUGGACCAAUGAUAACACAUGAUAGCAGAUGACCACGAGGCAGCUGGCGUCUGCUCCUGUCUUUAUAAAGUAGUCUGUGCUACGGGAGCUCCAGGAGCGGUGGCAAAUGCAGUGUCCAGAACACAGGAGGAGAGCUUUCAAUGCCACCAGUCACACAUUGUUUUCCUAACUUGAAUGGUGGUGGGAGGCAGGUGUGUUCUCUUGGGAAACCUUCCACCUGUGCACUUAUGUGCACUUUUUUGAGUGUUGAUUUUACAUAUUUUUAAUAAAAAAUGUUAACGUGCCUGUACACAUAAAGUAGAUAAGAAAAAGAUUCUGUUACCCACUGGCUGCUGGACCUGCUGUCAGUCAUCCGUCCGUCUUUCUGGCUCCUUAACACCUGCAACUGUGUAUUAGUUUGAGGCCUCUUUGUCGUAGAAUGCACAGAUGGCUCCAACAACAGGACUGUGCUAAGACCGGAGUCAGGAGGACAGAGUGGCGGUGACAAAGUAGUCCCUCUGAGGCUGGAGGGAGCAUGUCCUGGUUUCUCUCUCAGCCUCUGGUGAAAUACUAGUCACCCUGGGUUCCUUGGUCUCUGGUGCUUCUCCCUGAGUGCUGUCUCGUUCCCACAGAAUGUCCCCUCUGUGUGUAUCUGUGCCCAGAGUUUUCCUUUCAGGAGAACCAGACACAUUGCCUGAGAGCCAUGAAGUCUUGCCUUAAUGGCUUCCGCAAAGCUCCCGUCUCCAAAUAAGGCCAGAUUGUGAGCUUCUGGGGUUAUGGCCUCAGCAUAUGAUUCUGACAUACAUAAUUCAUCACGUGGCACUGUUAAUACACACAUGCACACAACUGUCAAGUGUUUGUGGUCCUUUAAUAAAAUCCUGCCUUUUGAUUAAAGUUUGUUCUUGGAAAACACAAUUUCCCUCCAGUACCCGGGGGCAAAUUGUAUAGUUGAGUUCAAAGUACACACAGAGUGCACACUUAGCACAUAACUUGGAACAAUAAAGCAUGCGUUGGUAAUAAUUAGCUCUAGAUGAAUGACUAAGAAAGUCACUGAAAGAGGUCCAACAUAAUUUUUAAGUGGCAAUUAUCAGACUUCCACGGAAGCCGCCGGAUUAGAUUUGUAGCAGUGGUAUUCCUGGCAAGCUGACUGGGCCCCUCUCCUGCUUCAGACUAUGCCACAGAAUGUUAGCUUUAUUUUAAAUUGAGGCACCAGUGUGGGGACCGGUGUCGAGUGGAUGUGACACUUGGCUGGCCUCCGUAUGCAGGGUGGUGGGUUUGAAGAGCUGGGAUCUUGUCUGAAGUCGGCCCCUCCGUGCCUUCACUUGCUCUGCUUCAGUUGCAGUCAGGGGGACCCCUCUGUGCCGAGCAGUGCAAACUGACCCAGCUCCUGGCCACACCCCUUGUGCUGUCCACUGUGAGUCAGGAAGGUGUUCCUACAGGAUCAAUCAAUAGCACAGCCGGUUUGCCCAGAGCUUUACGGAGAGCAAAGUACACUGACAGUUAGGUUUUAUCCCUGGCAUUCUUUGGAUUAGGCCGGAAGGUCUGUGGUGCCCCUCCUCCCAGGGUGUAGCUUUGAUGUGCUGGAGAGAGCCCAGGACCACACCUGACACGUAGCAAACAUCCAGUAGUCACAGUCGGGUGCUACAUGCGUUUUUUAUUGUUAUUACCGCCACAAGAUCAGGUGGCUCAUAAAAUUCUGAGAAAGAACUUGACCUGGGGUCAGCAGACAUCAGUCACUUCCCAAUGCCUUGGAACGUGACAGACAACAGGGCUGUAGUCAAGACCGCCUGUCCUGAAGGGACUCGGAACAAGUGGGAGGCGGGUGCAGGGAGAGAUAGCAGGUGCUGCUGUCUCUCCUAAAGCUAGCUGCUGGUGUUUCCCAGGGAGCCCCGACCUGACAUAAAAAGAUGCCGGCAUACAAUGAGAGCCCCACGAAUACAGUUCCCUCUUAUCAAUGGAGUUCAUGGCAGGAAGCAAAACAGAGAGACCUGGCCCAUGGUCUGCCUCAGUCAGGAGCUGAAGAAUGCCAUGCACCACUCCCCCCACUACCGUUUAAAUCUCGAGAAGAGACUUCCGUGGCAUCCAGCCAACUAGGCGAGGCAAAUACAUGGAGGAGCUGCCCACAGACUCUGGAGGCAUUCUGUCAUCUCAAGAGGCAACGAGCAUGCACAUGACCGGACCCCAGAGGGAGGCCUGUCCUAGACCACAGGAAACAAAACUUUGCUCAUCGACAGCAGAGGUCCAGAUACCAACAAAGGUAGAGAUGGCUCUGUGGCUCUGCUAAGUCUGGAAAACAAGUCACCUCUGGACAGCCCCUGCCCCAGGUCCUGUCCUCUACGAGCUGAGAAGGUCCCACUACUGCUGGCAGAGCAGGACCACAUGUGCCCGCUCAUAGUGAAUUAUCUGAAAACUUGGAAGACUCCCCACCUAGCAGAAGCCAAACUUCAAUAUGACUGAGAAUCUGAAAGGAAGCAAGCCUACUGCAAUGUAAGAGAGUGGAGUAGAGCAAGGGCAAGGGUGAGGAGUUGCUGGACAUCCGUGUCAUGGCGAUGACACUUACGCCCCUCCGAGCAUCCCACACUUCCCUUCAAUGGCAGGAGAGAAGGACUCUACCUUAGGGUGUGACCAUGGUGAUGGAUUGCAGAGUAUGGCUGUGAGGGGAGCAAGGCAGCAGGCACAUGUUGCUGGUCUCUCCUCCCUGUUCUUAGCCUGACCCUGGCCCCAUGCUCCAUUAUUCCCACAUGGUAAAGCCUCCUGUGUCUUUCUGCUCUGUAAGUAGCAGAGAAAUGGCCACACGGAACAUUAGGGCUCAUCCUCCCUCUGUCUGGGACCUAGAGCAAGGAGGGAAAGUCUGCUGGUGGUUCUAGCUGGCUACCUCUGCACAGCUGGGCACCUAUGUGGGGGCUGUACUUCUGCCUCAAGCUCUAUUCUCUUGUUCACUGUCUGAUAAACCUUUGUUCCUGCCUGCCUCCAUCCCUCUCCUUCCCCUUUCUCCCUCCUCCUUUUCCACUUCCUCCUCCUCCCUCCCUCUCCCUCUCCCUCUUCCUCCCCUACCCCAUCCCUCUAUCCCUCCUUCCUUUCUUCUCUUCCUUUUCUUACUGCUUUCUCUCUCUUGUUUCUAGGAGUGGGAACUGAAUCCAGACCUUUGCAAAACAAGUUCUCUACCAUGGAGCCCCCUUUUCCUUUUUUAUUUUGAGACAGGGUCUUGCUGCUAUAGUCCUUACAUAUCCACAUCCUCAACUUGUUCUGUAGCCCAGGCAGGCCUUGAGUUUUCGAUUCUGCUACCCAGCCUCACUUUGUUUGACAAGUGUAUCCUCAAGAGUCUGGGAGUCUCUGGACCUUAACUCAGCACUGCAUGUACACAGCCGUGGGGUGUCUCCACAGAGUGUACCUACCCUCUCCACUCCUUCCUCCGACACACCGAUUGGUCUGCCUUGUGGGCAGGCAGAGGCUCACUGGUGGAGAGAUGCUCACUGGUAACUGGACUUCACUCGGAGAGUGCACAGAGGGACACAGACAGAAGAGGAGAGGGUAUCGAGUUACACAGGGAGACCUGUGAGGGAUCCUGCUAACCCUGGAAAGAGAGGAGCUGGGGCUGGAGAAAUGGCUCAGCAAUGAAGAGUCCUUGCUGUUCUUCCAGAGAACACAGCUUGGGUUCCCUACACCCACACAAUGGCUCACAACCAUCUGUAAUUCCAGUUCCAAGAGUUCUGACGCCCUCUUCUGGCUUCCAUGGGCACCAGACACACAUGUGGGGCACAUACAUACAAGCGUGCAGGCAAAUGCUCACAUACAUAAAAUAAGAUUAUUUCAUCAUCAUCAUCAUUAUUAAUUAUUAUUAUUAUUAUUAUUAUUAUUAUUUUUAUUGGAGAAGGGAGCACAGCUCUGGGCGUCAAGAAAAACCGUGAAGCAGCAGAGUCUACCAGCUACAAACCAACCAGUGAGAGGCUCUGGUGAGCAUCACACCCACGCUGUCCUGCUCAUCCAAGCUUUGUUAAAAGGCCCAUCUCCUGUCAAGGACUUGUAUACCUUAUCAGGAAAGGAUGUCUCAGCUCUAGUCUCAAGAGUCACAGGAUUGCACCAAGCUAACAAGAGGUCUUGGAAUGAGGCAAAGCGAACCACCUCCCAAGUCCUCAUUGCACCUGAGGUACCUUGAGGGCUAUUGUUAAGCCCUGUGCUGGGAAGUUACCAAGCACUCAAGAAGUGAUGGUCACAGGGACAUCCUGCUCAGUGGCUGAGGAAAUACAGGAGGUUUAGAGCCACCGAGGCAAGUGCUGUUUAAACACUGCACCUCGGAUCUACGUUUCUGCCUAUAAAAACAGUCAGGUCCCACCUGGUAUCUCACAGGACCCUCUACCUGAGGCUCUAGGAAGAAUCAGAUGGACGUUUUCCUUCGAAGGCUCUCCGUGUAGCGAGAAGGCGAAAGCCAGCCAAUGUUCUGAUAGUAAUAACACAUGACACAUGGAGACAGUGGUUCUUGAUCAUACACCCAUACUAAGCUCUUAGUUCUGGUAACUCACACCCCACGCUGGCCACACAGGGCCUUCAUAUGGGUUUGUAUAUCUUCUACGCAUCUUUGUUCCAAGUCAGUUGAUAGCAGUUCGUUUCUGAGCUAUGUGGCAAAUCAUAGUUCUGUGUAGGUGGUCAUCUCCAGUAGAACUACCCGUUUAAACCCUAGAACAGGACAGGAAAGGAGCACACACUCACCCCUCCACCCUCUCUGUGAGGCAUGCGGUUCCACAGAGAAUCCUCUCUGAGCUGGAGACUCAAACAAAAUGUGUGCUCGGCUCCUGAGCCAGAGGAUAGGAAGAUAGCAUUUUGUGUGUGCUGUUGUCUCAGGUGGGCUUUCUCUCGCUAAGCUCAGAUAGGAGAAGUGGCCAUGCUGGUUUGAGGAGCCAUGCUAGUUUGAGGGGUGACAGAGUUUUCUAAAGGCUCGUGGAAAAAAAGCUGGACGCCCUGGCUCUCUCAGAUAAUCACAUAGGCCUUGGUGCAACUGUGGGUCAUUUCCAGACUCUGCAAGGUGAGAUGGAAGGAGAGGAAACCGGAUCCCGCAGCAUCUGGGGGCUGUCCAUCAUUUUAAUUGAAUGCACUAAUUGAAUUGCUCACUCUGGAAGGAGAGCACUCCUGGCUGCAGUCUGCACUUCUCAUAGCACGUCAGACCUGAGCUGUUCAUCCUUCCAGGAAACACCGUGUUUCCUCCCAAUGGAAGGUGGCUGAUAACUUACCUGAGAAUUAAUAAAUUGUUGGAUUAAUUAAUAAAUGUCAGUAUUUACCAGCUUGGUCAGAAAA